GGUGAGCGCGGCUGAUGCUGCAGGCUGGACGCCGGCCGGGCCAUGGCGCAGGUGGAGGUGCUGUGGGCGGCCGCCUCGCUGAUGCUGCUGGGCGCCGCCGUGGGCGCCUGCGUGCGGUGCCAGCUCUCCGCUAUUAAGCGAGAAAAGAAGCAGAGCGAACGGAGGAGUCAGUAAGUUGCCUUUCACCAUCGCGCUYCUCCAAAUCUGGCUCACGCAGGGCCGAGCUCCCGGCCCCCGCGCUCCGACGUCUGCC
rnacentral:lncRNA from 1 species